GAUGAACGCUGGCGGCGUGCCUAAUACAUGCAAGUCGAGCGAACAGACGAGGAGCUUGCUCCUCUGACGUUAGCGGCGGACGGGUGAGUAACACGUGGAUAACCUACCUAUAAGACUGGGAUAACUUCGGGAAACCGGAGCUAAUACCGGAUAAUAUAUUGAACCGCAUGGUUCAAUAGUGAAAGACGGUUUUGCUGUCACUUAUAGAUGGAUCCGCGCCGCAUUAGCUAGUUGGUAAGGUAACGGCUUACCAAGGCAACGAUGCGUAGCCGACCUGAGGGUGAUCGGCCACACUGGAACUGAGACACGGUCCAGACUCCUACGGGAGGCAGCAGUAGGGAAUCUUCCGCAAUGGGCGAAAGCCUGACGGAGCAACGCCGCGUGAGUGAUGAAGGUCUUCGGAUCGUAAAACUCUGUUAUUAGGGAAGAACAAAUGUGUAAGUAACUAUGCACGUCUUGACGGUACCUAAUCAGAAAGCCACGGCUAACUCCGUG
rnacentral:rRNA from 1 species